GGAAACAAAAGGAUUUCGCAAUUCUCUGCUUCAGCCCAUGCGCAGCGUUCACGAGUCAUUCCUCCUGUCGAUUUAACGUGGAUUAAUUUUCUGUUGUUGUCGUUACAUUAUAUAGUUAUAUCGUGAAAUACGCCUUUGUUUAAAGUGUGGAGCGAAGACAGCCUGAACAAGAAAUUCGUAGUGGCUGAAGAUUUUGCAGAACUGUUUCCAAAGAUUGCUCAUUAUGAGGUACGGUUGAGAGGCUUCGAGGAUGAUGAAAAACGUUGCCAAAGAGAAUUAAGAAGGUCAUCGCAAUGAAGACCACUGAAAUGGCAAAUUCCGAUCUCGAUAAGUACUGCAAAGCACUUGACAGAUACAAUUGAGAUUCGAUCAGGUGAAGAGGAGGGAAGCGGUGCAACCAAAACACGGCGAACUUAUACAACUACAGGGUUGUAAUGAUCAAAGGUGACACUGCAUUGGACAUGAGAGGACGCUGUGGCGCUGGACAAAAGGUUUUAGCAUCUCUCAUCAUAAGGU